rnacentral:rRNA from 1 species
AGCAGCCGCGGUAAUUCCAGCUCCAAUAGCGUAUAUUAAAGUUGUUGCAGUUAAAAAGCUCGUAGUUGAAUUUCGGGAUUGGCGCAUCGGUCGUGCCUUACGGGGUAUGAACUGGUGCAGUCAAUUUCUCACCUUCUGGAGAACCGCGAUGUCCUUAAUUGGGUGCCGCGGGGAACCAGGACCUUUACUUUGAAAAAAUUAGAGUGUUUAAAGCAGGCAUUUUUGCUUGAAUACAUUAGCAUGGAAUAAUAAAAUAGGACGGCAUGGUUCUAUUUUGUUGGUUUCUAGGACCACCGUAAUGAUUAAUAGGGAUAGUUGGGGGCAUUAGUAUUCAAUUGUCAGAGGUGAAAUUCUUGGAUUUAUUGAAGACUAACUACUGCGAAAGCAUUUGCCAAGGAUGUUUUCAUUAAUCAAGAACGAAAGUUAGGGAAUCGAAGACGAUCAGAUACCGUCGUAGUCUUAACCAUAAACUAUAGCCGACUAGGAAUCAGACGAUGACUUAAUUUUUAUGUACUUCGUU